GAUGAACGCUGGCGGCGUGCCUAACACAUGCAAGUCGAGCGAACGGACGAGAAGCUUGCUUCUCUGAUGUUAGCGGCGGACGAGUGAGUAACACGUGGAUAACCUACCUAUAAGACUGGGAUAACUUCGGGAAGCCGGCGCCAAUACCGGCUAAUUUUUUGAACCGCAUGGUUCAACAGUGAAAGACGGUCUUGCCGUCACUUAUAGAUGGAUCCGCGCUGCAUUAGCUAGUUGCUAAGGUAACGGCUUACCAAGGCAACGAUGCAUAGCCGACCUGAGAGGUGGAUCGGCCACACUGGAACUGAGACACGGCCCAGACUCCUACGGGAGGCACCGUUAGGGAAUCUUCCGCAAGGGGCGAAGCCCUGACGGAGCAACGCCGCGUGAGUGAUGAAGGUCUUCGGUUCGUAAAACUCUGUUAUUAGGGAAGAACAGAUGUGUAAGUAACUGUGCACAUCUUGACGGUACCUAAUCAGAAAGCCACGGCUAACUACGUG
rnacentral:rRNA from 1 species